CCUACGGGUGGCAGCAGUGAGGAAUAUUGGUCAAUGGACGAGAGUCUGAACCAGCGAAGCCGCGUGAAUGAUGACUGCCCUAUGGGUUGUAAACUUCUUUUAUAUGGGAAUAAAAUGUUCCACGUGUGGGAUUUUGUAUGUACCAUAUGAAUAAGGAUCGGCUAACUCCGUGCCAGCAGCCGCGGUAAUACGGAGUAUCCGAGCGUUAUCCGGAUUUAGUGGGUUUAACGGGAGCGUAGGUGGAUUGUUAAGUCAGUUGUGAAAGUUUGCGGCUCAACCGUAAAAUUGCAGUUGAAACUGGCAGUCUGGAGUACAGUAGAGGUGGGCGGAAUUCGUGGUGUAGCGGUGAAAUGCUUAGAUAUCACGAAGAACUCCGAUUGCGAAGGCAGCUCACUGGACUGCAACUGACACUGAGGCUCGAAAGUGUGGGUAUCAAACAGGAUUAGAUACCCUUGUAGUC
rnacentral:rRNA from 1 species